rnacentral:rRNA from 1 species
GGAGCAUGCGGCUUAAUUCGAUGCAACGCGAAGAACCUUACCUAGGCUUGACAUAUAGAGAAAUCCCACAGAGAUGUGGAGUCCGUAAGGGCUCUAUACAGGUGGUGCAUGGUUGUCGUCAGCUCGUGUCGUGAGAUGUUGGGUUAAGUCCCUCAACGAGCGCAACCCUCGUUCUAUGUUGCCAGCGCGUAAUGGCGGGGACUCAUAGGAGACUGCCGGGGUCAACUCGGAGGAAGGUGGGGAUGACGUCAAAUCAUCAUGCCCCUUAUGCCUAGGGCUGCACGCAUGCUACAAUGGCCGAUACAAAGGGCUGCGAUACCGCAAGGUGGAGCGAAUCCCAUAAAGUCGGUCUCAGUUCGGAUUGGGGUCUGCAACUCGACCCCAUGAAGUUGGAGUUGCUAGUAAUCGCAGAUCAGCAACGCUGCGGUGAAUACGUUCCCGGGCCUUGUACACACCGCCCGUCACGUCACGAAAGUCGGUACACC